AGAGUUUGAUCCUGGCUCAGGACGAACGCUGGCGGCGUGCUUAACACAUGCAAGUCGAACGGAAAGGCCCUUCGGGGUACUCGAGUGGCGAACGGGUGAGUAACACGUGGGUGAUCUGCCCUGCACUUUGGGAUAAGCCUGGGAAACUGGGUCUAAUACCGGAUAGGACCACGCGCUUCAUGGUGUGUGGUGGAAAGCUUUUGCGGUGUGGGAUGGGCCCGCGGCCUAUCAGCUUGUUGGUGGGGUAAUGGCCUACCAAGGCGACGACGGGUAGCCGGCCUGAGAGGGUGACCGGCCACACUGGGACUGAGAUACGGCCCAGACUCCUACGGGAGGCAGCAGUGGGGAAUAUUGCACAAUGGGCGCAAGCCUGAUGCAGCGACGCCGCGUGAGGGAUGACGGCCUUCGGGUUGUAAACCUCUUUCAAUAGGGACGAAGCGCAAGUGACGGUACCUAUAGAAGAAGGACCGGCCAACUACGUGCCAGCAGCCGCGGUAAUACGUAGGGUCCGAGCGUUGUCCGGAAUUACUGGGCGUAAAGAGCUCGUAGGUGGUUUGUCGCGUUGUUCGUGAAAACUCACAGCUUAACUGUGGGCGUGCGGGCGAUACGGGCAGACUAGAGUACUGCAGGGGAGACUGGAAUUCCUGGUGUAGCGGUGGAAUGCGCAGAUAUCAGGAGGAACACCGGUGGCGAAGGCGGGUCUCUGGGCAGUAACUGACGCUGAGGAGCGAAAGCGUGGGGAGCGAACAGGAUUAGAUACCCUGGUAGUCCACGCCGUAAACGGUGGGUACUAGGUGUGGGUUUCCUUCCUUGGGAUCCGUGCCGUAGCUAACGCAUUAAGUACCCCGCCUGGGGAGUACGGCCGCAAGGCUAAAACUCAAAGGAAUUGACGGGGGCCCGCACAAGCGGCGGAGCAUGUGGAUUAAUUCGAUGCAACGCGAAGAACCUUACCUGGGUUUGACAUGCACAGGACGCCGGCAGAGAUGUCGGUUCCCUUGUGGCCUGUGUGCAGGUGGUGCAUGGCUGUCGUCAGCUCGUGUCGUGAGAUGUUGGGUUAAGUCCCGCAACGAGCGCAACCCUUGUCUCAUGUUGCCAGCACGUUAUGGUGGGGACUCGUGAGAGACUGCCGGGGUCAACUCGGAGGAAGGUGGGGAUGACGUCAAGUCAUCAUGCCCCUUAUGUCCAGGGCUUCACACAUGCUACAAUGGCCGGUACAAAGGGCUGCGAUGCCGUGAGGUGGAGCGAAUCCUUUCAAAGCCGGUCUCAGUUCGGAUCGGGGUCUGCAACUCGACCCCGUGAAGUCGGAGUCGCUAGUAAUCGCAGAUCAGCAACGCUGCGGUGAAUACGUUCCCGGGCCUUGUACACACCGCCCGUCACGUCAUGAAAGUCGGUAACACCCGAAGCCGGUGGCCUAACCCUUGUGGAGGGAGCCGUCGAAGGUGGGAUCGGCGAUUGGGACGAAGUCGUAACAAGGUAGCCGUA
rnacentral:rRNA from 3 species